GUGGGGAAUAUUGGACAAUGGGCGAAAGCCUGAUCCAGCCAUGCCGCGUGAGUGAUGAAGGCCUUAGGGUUGUAAAGCUCUUUCAGUAGGGAAGAUAAUGACGGUACCUACAGAAGAAGCCCCGGCUAACUUCGUGCCAGCAGCCGCGGUAAUACGAAGGGGGCUAGCGUUGUUCGGAUUUACUGGGCGUAAAGCGCACGUAGGCGGAUUGGUCAGUUAGAGGUGAAAUCCUGGAGCUCAACUCCAGAACUGCCUUUAAUACUGCCAGUCUAGAGUCCAGAAGCGGUGAGUGGAACUCCUGGUGUAGAGGUGGAAUUCGUAGAUAUUAGGAAGAACACCAGUGGCGAAGGCGGCUCACUGGUCUGGUACUGACGCUGAGGUGCGAAAGCGUGGGGAGCAAACAGGAUUAGAUACCCCAGUAGUCC
rnacentral:rRNA from 1 species